AGUAUGUCACUUGCAGGCCGCCGUUGGAGGCGGGCAAGAGAAUAGAGGAUCCGGGGGGGCAGGGCUCGGCGGGGGACAGACUGGGGUCAGGUGCCUCUACUUUCCUUGUGGCGGACUCUGGCUUCUCCGCAGCCUGUGUCACGCAACUGUCAGUUACAGCCGCGACGGCGAUGCCGAGGGUGGCGAGAGUGGGAGGGAGACAGACAGACAGACAGACACAGAGCAGUUACUUGCACGUCACAGUGAGAGAGAAAGACAGAUUAGCAGAGGGCGGGGAGUGGGAGACGGUUGUGGUGGUGGUGGCGGGGUGGGGGGGGGGGUGUCAAGAGGCUACUGCACUUGCUUUAAACUCAGUGUUCCUCAAAUCCCACCACUUACUCGUACAGAAUAUUGGUUAAGUACAUUUGUUUUGGCAAAGCUAUAAAAUGACAUUCUGAAUCUUGUAGAUGGCAAUGUUGCAUCGCUUUGGAUUUGAGGUCAGCACAGCUUUUGAGUAGAAGAUAAAGAAUAGGAGGAAAAUCUCGCCUGAUCAUGUAGAUGACACUCGUCAACAGAACAUUUUAAUCGGAGAUGGCUUUUUGUGUAUAAUGGAUUUUGACGGCGAUUUCAAAAACGUCGCCCCCCCUUUAACGCAAUCAGAUUUUUUUUUUGAUAUUUCCAUAUUUUCUUUAUAAGUUUGACCUAAAAAAGUACGGGUGCAAAUUUUCACUAUUCUGAUUCCAUUUUCGAUUCUUUAUCAAUCCUCUUGGACACUUUGGGGGGGGGGGGGCGGGGGAGGGUUAAAAAAACUAGAUUAGCAUUCACUUUGUUUUAUGUCUAACACUUUUAAAAGUAACAAGACCUCACAAACCCAACUGUGUGGUACUAAGAGGGCCAGAUCUUAAGACUCUUUGAUGGGAUGCCAUGGGGUACCCCAGGAAAAAAAAAGAUUUGUUUCACACACACACACACGCACACACACACACACACACACACACACACACACACACACACACACACACACACACACAUUCGUUUUCUGAAAAAACACCUUUUGGCAUCAUUUUGGUGCCCUUUCUAAAACACCCAAACAUGCCGCCAAUGCCUUGUCUAACUAGGAAAAGUCGCAGUACAGCCCUUGGGAUUAGAGAAGGCGGUUGAAGUGGUACCGACUUUGUAUGUUUGUGAGAAACUCUCAUGGCUAAACAAACGGUCUGUUCAGCAUCUUGUUCGAGAUCAGCAAGUUGUGCAAAAAAGUCCUUAAAGUUGGGCAUUCCAAAAGUUUGCCGCAAGUCAGAUGAAGUUCACCCAUAAAGGUUACGCUACAUUUUAGGCUCAUCUUGAAAAUCCUCCCGGUAGCCGAAUAGUCUCCAUGCGCUCGUUUUGUUAAUAUUUCCAGAGUGGGCGACCCCUGUGCGGAACCGUGACAUUUUCCAGCAAAAUUACUCUUUGCAUCUUCUUUUUUUACAUUUUUUUUUCUCGAGAGCGUGGCGGUAACCUCGGCAACCGAGCAACGCGCACUCUGCCAAGACCAGGUGUCUGCGACGGGCAAUUAGCGGGAUGCGACGUGAGCGCUCACGUUUUGGACCGCGUGGCUUUUUGCAGUUCACCCCGCAAAAAAAAAAAGAAAAAAACCCAGAUGGCUUUCUUUUUGCCUCCCCCUACCGCCUCCGUGUUCGCAAACACAUUUAGAAUUAUUUCAGCUGUGUGGCGCGCAGUCCUCUCUGCUGCAUCGCUGUUACCUCGGCGUCGCAGCAGCUGGCCAACCUGGGGGAGUUUAUGAAACCCCCCCCCCCCCCCCCACGCUUUGUCAAGAGGCAGAUUAGCUGAUAAACUUUAAAAGCAAGCUGGCCGUCUUAAAAGUCUUCUGCCGGAACACUAACAAUAAAUAGCAAAUCGAUCCACUCGUUGCCUUUUUAAAGACCUGUUUGCAUUGGGAAACAAUUUUCCACAACAUUAGCGAGAUCUUUGUCAAGGCGGCAUUUUGAAUGCAGGCCUUAGCGAAGUCGCGCCGACGACUUUUUAGCCCACUCGGAUCAAAGAGCUUCUAUUUAUUGACCUCACUAGCUACAGUGCCCAUUUUUAAGCGAUCGUUAUUUUGUUUUUAAGUAUGCAAGCAAGUCAAUAUUAACAAAGAAGAGAAAAUAAUAGAAAAUAAGAAGAUACCCCCUUCAAUGUACGACAUAGUCCUUGUUCUCACGAAGCAGAGACCUCUCUGCCGGUGAGUAUUAUUGUAUGCCGAUCGUACGUGUGCUUUGAGGUGGCUACCGCGCACAUGCUAAUUUCUAUUAGCACACGGCGCUGCACAAUUAUGGCGCAAAUGAUAAUCAGGACUAUUUUGUCCACUAUAAGCAUUGAAAUAAUGUAAUGAUGUAAUAUCAAUUCGCCUCAGAAAUGUUUUUUUUUUAAAUAUUUGAUGCACAACUCUCAUUUAUUGAUGACAAUGAUCUAAUUGUAACAUGUAUGUUACAUAUUUUGAUGCAUUUUUAUGCUUUAGAAAAAAUUUAUGUCUGAAUUUUGAGGGGGUUUUGGGGGGGGGGCUUGGAACGGAUUAGGGCAUUUACAUGGAAAACGUGUCUCUACUUAAACAAUUUUCUAUUUAAGAUUUUUUUUUCCCCAGAACCAAUUAAUUUCAUAAGUAGAGGUACCACUGGAAUACUCAUAACACAUAGACACACAAAUCAGUUUUUUCCCCCCGCCCAUCUUCAUUUUCCCGAGCGACUUGCGACUACCGGAUAACCACGAUCAACUAGUUGGGCACCGGUGUUCUAAUGACAGUAUAGAUAGUAACGGGUGGAAACGAAGGUUAAUUUUACCUCCUGCUAUCGUCGCUGACCUACAGCAGAUAAAUAAACAAAGGCACAUUAUUUGUCGUCAAUAAAUUAGAAUUUUUUAUUUUUUUUAUUGCUGACC